GAGUGGCCAUUGACAAGGCAUGGACAGGUCAUGGGCAGGGUGUGAAGAGGACAUGAACAGGGCUGUUUGUUGUAACAGGGCUGAUAUGUAACAAACAUCCAGCUGUGGGAGUUCUGUUAAGGUAUGGAUGGCUGGUUGGACGUGUCUGUCUGACUGUAAGUGUUGGUCUAUCAAGACAUGCAUGUCUAACUGGACAUGCCUAUCUGACUGGAAGUGUUCUUUUGUCAAGACACUCAUGGCUAUUUAGACAUGUCUAUCUGGCUGGAAGUGUCAAGAUAUACAUGGCUAGUAGCAUGUUUCCAUCUCACUAGAGUUGUUCAUCUGUCAAGACAUGCAUGUCUGUCUGAACAUAGGUGAUCUGGAGUGCUUAUCCCUGUCUGUCUGAGGAUGUAUAUUUGAGUAUGUGUCUGUUAUAUGUAUAGUGCAGUACAUCUGAAAUCUGACCAGAACUAAACGGUACAUUUGAGUGUGUAUGUUACAUGGGAAGUGCAGUACAUCUGAAAUCUGACCAGAAAUAAACGGUACAUUUGAGUUUGUGUAUGUUAUAUGUGGAGUGCAGUACAUCUGAAAUCUGACCAGAAAUAAAUGGUACAUUUGAGUGUGUGUAUGUCUUGUUUGAAGUGUGGUACAGCUGAAAUAAAAAGUUGUAUUUGUGAAAAUGUCAUUUUUGGAGUUUAGCACUUCUGAGAUCUGUUCAGAAAUACAUGUUGAAGGGAAGUGUUUACUGGCUGAACAUUGGUACUAAAUUAUGAUAAAUAAUUUUCAACAAAAAUAGUUGGACGAAAAAGACUUCAGCUAGUAGAAAAAGCUGGGUCACCUGUGCAAAUCAGAUACAAGGUGUAAAGAGUAUUUACUGUUACUGUUGUAAAUUUACAGUAUACUGGGCUGAGACUCAGAUUCAUGUAUUGAGUGAUUGCUUUGUCAAAGUCUGCGCGAUUUGUUUGUAUCUUUGUCAACUUUGGCAUCAAAAUGUUUCACUCAUGCCAUUGUCUUUACACACACACACACACACACACACAUGUAUAUUCCAAAUUCUCUUGUACAUUGCCAUUGCAUAAUAUUGAUGCAUUUAUGUAAGUGGGAGCUUUAUAAUAUAUGUUAUGUAUAAUAUGUUGUCAUAUGUCCCUUUGUAAUUUUUUUUAUGAUUGAAUAAUGUGUGUACUUAUUAUUACUGGAGUUUGUGUCAGUCUUUGCUUGCAAUUUUUCCCCUUAAAUCAAGCCGCAUCAAAAUGUUACGUUCUAAUGUCAGUUUUAAUGUUGAUUUGGUAUUAUGCUCGGUGUUGAUCAGAGCUGACUAAGGAUUCCACUGAUCAGAUGUGUAGAUAUUUGUAAGCAGAUUGCAACCCUUUUACGGAUGAGUUAUCUGCCCCUGCCCCCAUGCACAGCCUGUGGUGUUCAGGUUACUACGAUACUGUGAGCUUUAAACAGAUUUCACCUGUGGGGCAAAUUUAGCACGUUAAUAAGGACAAGUACUGUAUGUCCAAUGCUCAAAAUCACACACAGAAAAUGACUUCAAUUCCGGGCAUGCCUUGAAAAUUCUCUAAAAUAAGUCCUUUAGGAAAGUAAAAACUCAUCUUUUGUGGAUUGAAGUUUCAUUGUGGUAUAUGAUGUGCCCUUCUGUAAAGCGACGACAUGACACAAAGGGGCACCAUGUUACUGUCAUGUCAAAACUCAAGCCAAACUGUAGUGGUUUGUCAGUGAUGAUGUUCCCAAUCUGCUGUGGCACCCUCUGUUGGCAGGGAUGGUCAAAUCAGUAAGAAACCGCUCUAUUCAGUCAAACAUUUACAAUUGUUUUUAUCUUUGAUAUAUAAUGCAAUGUUUUCUAUUUUCAUAUUAUUGUCUCAGAAUUGGUGAUUUGUCCAGGAUAUCGUCAAUCUUUCAAUGCUUGGAUUUAGAAAUUAAAAUAUAUGCCUGCUGCUGAUGUUUCAGGCAGAAGGUAAUCAUUGUACAAAAUAAUUAAUUAGGAACUCCAGGAGCUCUUUCUGUAUAAGACAUCCACAUGUUCUCGUGAUGAUUUGACUAAAAUUCUGCUAGAUGAGCAUUCAUUCAUGAGCAUUCAUUCAUUCUGAGACAUUCUCUAUUCUGUACAGACUCUGUGAGUGGAAGAGUACACGAAUUACUUGUAAGCAAUGAUCAAAUUAAAGUUAAGAAAUAAAAAUGCCAUGAACUCUAA